CGAACGCUGGCGGCAUGCCUAACACAUGCAAGUCGAACGAGACCUUCGGGUCUAGUGGCGCACGGGUGCGUAACGCGUGGGAACCUGCCCUUAGGUUCGGAAUAACUCCCCGAAAGGGGUGCUAAUACCGGAUAAUGUCUUCGGACCAAAGAUUUAUCGCCUUUGGAUGGGCCCGCGUUGGAUUAGCUAGUUGGAAGGGUAAAAGCCUACCAAGGCGACGAUCCAUAGCUGGUCUGAGAGGAUGAUCAGCCACACUGGGACUGAGACACGGCCCAGACUCCUACGGGAGGCAGCAGUGGGGAAUAUUGGACAAUGGGCGAAAGCCUGAUCCAGCAAUGCCGCGUGAGUGAUGAAGGCCUUAGGGUUGUAAAGCUCUUUUACCCGGGAUGAUAAUGACAGUACCGGGAGAAUAAGCUCCGGCUAACUCCGUG
rnacentral:rRNA from 1 species